GAUGAACGCUGGCGGCGUGCCUAAUACAUGCAAGUCGAGCGAAAAGACGAGGAGCUUGCUCCUCUGACGUUAGCGGCGGACGGGUGAGUAACACGUGGAUAACCUACCUAUAAGACUGGGAUAAUUUCGGGAAACAGGAGCUAAUACCGGAUAAUAUAUUGAACCGCAUGGUUCAAUAGUGAAAGACGGUUUUGCUGUCACUUAUAGAUGGAUCCGCGCCGCAUUAGCUAGUUGGUAAGGUAACGGCUUACCAAGGCGACGAUGCGUAGCCGACCUGAGAGGGUGAUCGGCCACACUGGAACUGAGACACGGUCCAGACUCCUACGGGAGGCAGCAGUAGGGAAUCUUCCGCAAUGGGCGAAAGCCUGACGGAGCAACGCCGCGUGAGUGAUGAAGGUCUUCGGAUCGUAAAACUCUGUUAUUAGGGAAGAACAAAUGUGUAAGUAACUAUGCACGUCUUGACGGUACCUAAUCAGAAAGCCACGGCUAACUACGUG
rnacentral:rRNA from 1 species